UACGUAGGGUGCUAGCGUUGUCCGGAAUUAUUGGGCGUAAAGAGCUCGUAGGCGGUUUGUCGCGUCUGCUGUGAAAACCCGAGGCUCAACCUCGGGCCUGCAGUGGGUACGGGCAGACUAGAGUGCGGUAGGGGAGAUUGGAAUUCCUGGUGUAGCGGUGGAAUGCGCAGAUAUCAGGAGGAACACCAAUGGCGAAGGCAGAUCUCUGGGCCGUAACUGACGCUGAGGAGCGAAAGCAUGGGGAGCGAACAGG
rnacentral:rRNA from 1 species